CAAGAACUCUUCUUCAAUCUCAUUCACCACGACCGCGGCACCGAAAUAAUCAGUGCGCGCAGGAAGAGGGAGACCGAGGGGCUGUGAAAACUACACGGAAAACGUCGGGAUUUCGCUUCGUUCUGCGUUAAAUCUCUUCGCGUUAAAGACAAGAGAGUUGACAUGAUGGCGGGAACAGUGGUACUGCGUCUCCCAUUGCCUAGGGAAAAACCCGGAUGUAAACUCGGCGAAACUCGUGUGGAGAAAGUGGCACAACCAACUCCGUGCACGUCAACGCCAGGCGACACAACGAGACCAGAUAGAGAGGAGGGAAAGGGACGAGUAGGCCUUGGGUUAUUCGGACAAAUAUUACGCAAGGCCCUUUUUAAUAAAGUGUCUUUACUUUGUU